AGAGUUUGAUCCUGGCUCAGGAUGAACGCUAGCGACAGGCUUAACACAUGCAAGUCGAGGGGCAGCGGGGUAGUGCUUGCACUACUGCCGGCGACCGGCGCACGGGUGAGUAACACGUAUGGAACCUGCCCGCAGCAGGGGGAUAAGCGGAAGAAAUUCCGUCUAAUACCGCGUAAGAACGUUGGGAGGCAUCUCCCGAUGUUUAAAGAUUCAUCGGCUGCGGAUGGCCAUGCGGCGCAUUAGCUAGUCGGCGGGGUAACGGCCCACCGAGGCGACGAUGCGUAGGGGUUCUGAGAGGAAGGUCCCCCACACUGGUACUGAGACACGGACCAGACUCCUACGGGAGGCAGCAGUGAGGAAUAUUGGUCAAUGGCCGAGAGGCUGAACCAGCCAAGUCGCGUGAGGGAAGACGGCCCUACGGGUUGUAAACCUCUUUUGUCGGGGAGCAAAGCGAACCACGUGUGGUUCAUUGAGAGUACCCGAAGAAAAAGCAUCGGCUAACUCCGUGCCAGCAGCCGCGGUAAUACGGAGGAUGCGAGCGUUAUCCGGAUUUAUUGGGUUUAAAGGGUGCGCAGGCGGAGGUGCAAGUCAGCGGUCAAAUUGCGGGGCUCAACCCCGUACUGCCGUUGAAACUGCAUCCCUUGAGUGCGCGAGAAGUAUGCGGAAUGCGUGGUGUAGCGGUGAAAUGCAUAGAUAUCACGCAGAAACUCCGAUUGCGAAGGCAGCAUACCGGCGCGCAACUGACGCUCAUGCACGAAAGCGUGGGUAUCGAACAGGAUUAGAUACCCUGGUAGUCCACGCAGUAAACGAUGAACACUAACUGUUCGGCCAGAAUGAUGGCUGAGUGGUACAGCGAAAGCGUUAAGUGUUCCACCUGGGGAGUACGCCGGCAACGGUGAAACUCAAAGGAAUUGACGGGGGCCCGCACAAGCGGAGGAACAUGUGGUUUAAUUCGAUGAUACGCGAGGAACCUUACCCGGGCUCAAACGACACAGGAAUACUUUUGAAAGGAGGUAGCCCUACGGGGUCUGUGUCGAGGUGCUGCAUGGUUGUCGUCAGCUCGUGCCGUGAGGUGUCGGCUUAAGUGCCAUAACGAGCGCAACCCCUAUCGCCAGUUACCAUCAAGUAAAGUUGGGGACUCUGGCGAGACUGCCGGCGCAAGCUGAGAGGAAGGCGGGGAUGACGUCAAAUCAGCACGGCCCUUACGUCCGGGGCGACACACGUGUUACAAUGGCAGGUACAGAGAGAAGCCAGGUGGUGACACCGAGCGGAACUCGAAAGCCUGUCUCAGUUCGGAUCGGAGUCUGCAACCCGACUCCGUGAAGCUGGAUUCGCUAGUAAUCGCGCAUCAGCCAUGGCGCGGUGAAUACGUUCCCGGGCCUUGCACUCACCGCCCGUCAAG
rnacentral:rRNA from 1 species